rnacentral:misc_RNA from 1 species
GAGAACCAAGAUAUCCAUUGUUAACAGUUGUUCGGUUAGGGGUGCGUCGGACUUUCGUCGGGCGCGGUAGACAUGCAUCAUGUUCAACCUGAAUGAACUUGGCCCCACAGGGAGGUAACGACCCCCGGUCGAUGGCCGUGUGGACCACCGAUCGUUGACUGCGCUGCCCUUGCACAAUUCACCAAACACUUUCAGAUUGAUGGUUGCUUGGGGGCACCAGGAGUGGAUAGUUGUAAACGCUCGACCCAAUACAGGUGCUACAGGUUUCCGUAGGUGAACCUGCGGAAGGAUCAUUAACACGUAUCCAAACGUUAAAACAACCCUGUGAAUAUUGAAUCUCAGUUCCCCCAGGGCAGAAAAAUGGGCUUCCUCUAGUAAAUCAUAGUCUUACCAAGGUUUUGAGUUAGAGGAUGGCUUGUUACGACUU